rnacentral:lncRNA from 1 species
GCCCUUCCCAAAUAGCAGCUCCUCUUCCUCAGGAGGGAUCCCUCACUCUGCCUCCUGAAUGGAGAGGAGGUGAUGUUUUAAUGACCAAGAAGAACACAGGCUGCAGCUGAAGGCAAGGGAACUCUUCUGCUGUGGUGACCCUCAGCCUGUGGUAACCACGGAGCAAGGCAGCUGAAGGAGCACACCUGUCCCCUGGGGAGCUGCACACAGAGCACUUCUUUGACGUCUGUUCCUCAUCAGAGUUCACCACCCAAGUCAGUUCACAGUGGUAAUGGCAAGGGACUGAGUUGUUCCCCUCCCAGGCCUCUCUGGGAAGCCAAGGCUCCAGCAGCAUCACAUACACUUGUUCUCUCUGGCCUGCAGCAAACACUUCUCUAUAAUUCAUGGGAUAUCUGGGAGAGAAGCAAAUGUCGUGUGGAGCCCGAUGGAGGAGCUGCAGCUGAACAUCUGGAUGGUUUUACAAGCAAGAACAAGCACAAGUCAGCUCUGAACAUGGACACCAGAACAGCCCCCACGAUGGCUGGAUAUUUUAUUACAUGGACCUGUCAGAAAAAUCCAACCUAG